GAAGCGAGGCUGUGAAGCGGAGCAAAUCUCAAAAACCGGUCCCAGUUCGGAUUGUAGGCUGCAACUCGCCUACAUGAAGUCGGAGUUGCUAGUAAUCGCGGAUCAGAAUGCCGCGGUGAAUGCGUUCCCGGGUCUUGUACACACCGCCCGUCACACCAUGGAAGUUGGGGGCGCCCGAAGUUGCCUAAGAAAUAAGGUACCUAAGGCGAAACCAAUGACUGGGGUGAAGUCGUAACAAGGUAAC
rnacentral:rRNA from 1 species